GCAGUAUACACAACAUACAGGUGAGUUUUACAGAGAGAUGCUCUUGUAUCUGUCAACUUCCGAACCUACCAGUGAGUUCACAGAUCUCAUUAGCUUUCUCUAGCGCUCUGUCUGCAAACUUCCACGGCCAACCUUCAUCUGUAGCCUUCGUCUUUUUGCAGUCGUUCAGGCUUCAGCUGACAGUUCACAACUCCACUUGUCAUCUUCGCUGGGACACAGGGAGGAGACUGUGCAGAAGUUGCUCAGCGAGUGUCAGUAGUGCAGUGGGGACGGCGUGCCAGGGCUGCUCGAGGGAAGCACGGAGAUACGGAGCUUUCUGAAGACUUUCCAACACCCUUCCCCUGGCCUUGCAGAAAGGUAAUCCCCCGUUUUCCGGAAAUCCGACAUGGCCAGCCAACAAGUCCUUAGCGUGCAGGAGCCGCUGACCCCAUGGCAUUUGCACUCCAGCUUCAGGAAGCGCUUCACAGCCUGCAGGAAUGGGAGCACAUCAGGACUGGGAAUGGAGGCCACGACCAGCGGGACCAUCCUGGAUGUAUUCAAGGCCAGGCUGGCUGUGGCUCUGGGCAGCUGGUCUAGCAGUUGGCAACCCCGCACGUAGCAGAGGGGUUGAAACGAGAUGAGCUUUGAGGUCCUUUUCAACCCAGGCCAUUCUAUGAUCCUAUGAAAGGAGCCCCAGGGAUGGGUUCUCCUCGGGAUGGCGGAGCUCUGCACCCUGCCCUGCCCCCACAAACACACCCCUGGCAGCCCUGGGAGGCGUCCCAGCCGCACUCACCAUCCUGCCGCAGCGGUUGUUGUGCAGGUUCAUCAGCGCCCGCGCGUCCUUCACUUUCUUCUCCUUGGCAUCCACGAAGGCUUUGGCGAAGCGGAUGCCGUAGUUGAUGUUGUCGCUGCAGCCGCCCCAGUCGAACUCCCCGCGCUCAUCCUUGGCCCGGCCGCGCUUCAGUGGGUCACAGCCGCAGGCCUUCAGCUCCCCUUGGCUGCAGGCGCGCGUGAUGGCGUACACCACCCCGGCCGAGGAGAUGGCGUAGACGAAGGCGGCCUCCCUGCUGCCUGCGGGCACAGAGCCUGAGGUGAGGAGUGGGCUGAGACCGGGCUGCAGCUCCGCAUG
rnacentral:lncRNA from 1 species